AUGAACGCUGGCGGCGUGCCUAAUACAUGCAAGUCGAGCGAACGGACGAGAAGCUUGCUUCUCUGAUGUUAGCGGCGGCCGGGUGAGUAACACGUGGAUAACCUACCUAUAAGACUGGGAUAACUUCGGGAAACCGGAGCUAAUACCGGAUAAUAUUUUGAACCGCCUGGUUCAAAAGUUAAAGACGGUCUUGCUGUCACUUAUAGAUGGAUCCGCGCUGCAUUAGCUAGUUGGUAAGGUAACGGCUUACCAAGGCAACGAUGCAUAGCCGACCUGAGAGGGGGAUCGGCCACACUGGAACUGAGACACGGUCCAGACUCCUACGGGAGGCAGCAGUAGGGAAUCUUCCGCAAUGGGCGAAAGCCUGACGGAGCAACGCCGCGUGAGUGAUGAAGGUCUUCGGAUCGUAAAACUCUGUUAUUAGGGAAGAACAUAUGUGUAAGUAACUGUGCACAUCUUGACGGUACCUAAUCAGAAAGCCACGGCUAACUACGU
rnacentral:rRNA from 1 species